rnacentral:rRNA from 1 species
UACAGAGGGUGCGAGCGUUAAUCGGAAUUACUGGGCGUAAAGCGUGCGUAGACGGUUAUGUAAGUCGGAUGUGAAAGCCCCGGGCUCAACCUGGGAAUUGCAUUCGAGACUGCAUAGCUAGGAUGCGGAAGAGGGAAGUGGAAUUUCCGGUGUAGCGGUGAAAUGCGUAGAUAUCGGAAGGAACACCAGUGGCGAAAGCGACUUCCUGGUCCAGUACCGACGUUCAGGCACGAAAGCGUGGGGAGCAAACAGG